UACGGGGGGGGCAAGCGUUGUUCGGAAUUACUGGGCGUAAAGGGCGCGUAGGCGGCCGAUCAAGUCAGAUGUGAAAGUCCUGGGCUUAACCUGGGGACUGCAUUUGAUACUGAUUGGCUUGAAUGCAGGAGAGGAUAGCGGAAUUCCCAGUGUAGAGGUGAAAUUCGUAGAUAUUGGGAAGAACACCGGUGGCGAAGGCGGCUAUCUGGACUGUGAUUGACGCUGAGGCGCGAAAGCGUGGGGAGCAAACAGG
rnacentral:rRNA from 1 species